AGAUGAAUGUGACAACAAGUUAAGGCCUUGCCUACGUCAACCUUACUUUUAGUCCAAAUAAAGAUUAUAGAUGUCUAGGUUAUGACAACAGACUGAUAAGAGUUUUUUUCCUUUCAUUUUCACAUAUGAACUGCUUUUUUAAGCUGUAUAAUUAAUACAUAAAUGACCAAUAGUAAUUAUAAAUGCUUUACUAUAAUUAAUGACCAAUGCUGGACAGAGACUUCCGGACCAACUCGGGAGGUGACAUAUACUAAAAGAUUACCUGUACAAUCAGGAAGCAUAUAUUCAUUUAAUUCUAUAUACUCUGUUUUAUUAAUGUAUU